UGUAAAAUGUCUCCUUACAUCA
rnacentral:piRNA from 1 species